UGGGGAAUUUUGCACAAUGGGCGGAAGCCUGAUGCAGCGACGCCGCGUGAGGGAUGACGGCUUUCGGGUUGUAAACCUCUUUUAUCCACCACGAAGGCUCCGUAUUCGCGGGGUUGACGGUAGUGGUUGAAUAAGCGCCGGCUAACUACGUGCCAGCAGCCGCGGUAAGACGUAGGGCGCGAGCGUUGUCCGGAUUUAUUGGGCGUAAAGGGCUCGUAGGCGGCCCGCUGCGUCCGCCGUGAAAGGCCUCGGCUUAACUGGGGUUUUGCGGUGGAUACGGGCGGGCUUGAGGCAAGUAGGGGAGAUCGGAAUUCUACGUGUAGCGGUGAAAUGCGCAGAUAUGUGGAGGAACACCGGUGGCGAAGGCGGAUCUCUGGGCUUGUUCUGACGCUGAGGAGCGAAAGCGUGGGGAGCGAACAGG
rnacentral:rRNA from 1 species